rnacentral:rRNA from 1 species
UACGGGGGGGUAAGCGUUGUUCGGAAUUCCUGGGCGUAAAGGGCUCGUAGGUGGCCAACUAAGUCGGACGUGAAAUCCCUCGGCUUAACCGGGGAACUGCGUCUGAUACUGGAUGGCUUGAGUUUGGGAGAGGGAUGCGGAAUUCCAGGUGUAGCGGUGAAAUGCGUAGAUAUCUGGAGGAACACCGGUGGCGAAGGCGGCAUCCUGGACCAACACUGACACUGAGGAGCGAAAGCCAGGGGAGCAAACGGG